GCUCUCGAAGGUGACCUGCGGAGGGAUCAUUA
rnacentral:rRNA from 1 species